rnacentral:lncRNA from 1 species
AACGACUAUGCAUGAACACGUGCACCUGAAACCAACCUUUAUCUAUGUAAAGGUGGUUGUGCUGCACAGUUUGACCUUUGACCUGAAGAGUGUAACAAGCGCCACGUGAAGAAGACUACAGGUUGAGGAGUGAGGGAAGGGGAGCUGCAGAUCAAGGAGAGGAGAGACUGCCACCCACCUCACCUCACACACUGGAAUUUGGAGUCACUGCGCAGCCCACAGAGAAGGCAGUGUGAGGGGACGGGCCGGGGUCUGAGCAGCUCCACAACCAUCUUUGCCUGUGAAGUGUUGCUGAAAGCUGCUCCGCUCUGCACCGCCUGCAUGUCCCAGCUCCCGUCUGCCACAGCUGAGCUACAAAGAGACCGACACUGGGAGGGACCUCUACAGUCAUGAGUCUUUCCCUUCUGUGCGCUCCACUGCGUUAACUCUUGAGGUAAGAGUUGGGACUUCCUGAAGUGCUGCUUGUGCUUUUGUGUGUGUGUGUUAGUCCUCUUCUCUGCUGUCAGUAUAUUUGAUUGUUAUGAUGGGGGGGUGGG